GACGAAGGAUGCAAGCGUUAUCCGGAUUCAUUGGGUUUAAAGGGAGCGUAGGCGGCCUUAUAAGUCAGUGGUGAAAUCUUUGGGCUUAACCCAAAAAUUGCCAUUGAUACUGUAGGGCUUGAGUACAGUUGCUGUGGGCGGAAUAUGACAUGUAGUGGUGAAAUACAUAGAGAUGUCAUAGAACACCGAUGCGAAGGCAGCUCACAAAACUGUAACUGACGCUGAGGCUCGAAAGUGCGGGGAUCAAACAGGAUUAGAAACC
rnacentral:rRNA from 1 species